rnacentral:rRNA from 1 species
GGAUUUCCCAAUGGACGAAAGUCUGAUGGAGCAACGCCGCGUGAACGAUGAAGGUCUUCGGAUUGUAAAGUUCUGUUGUCAGGGACGAACAAGUACCGUUCGAACAGGGCGGUACCUUGACGGUACCUGACGAGAAAGCCACGGCUAACUACGUGCCAGCAGCCGCGGUAAUACGUAGGUGGCAAGCGUUGUCCGGAUUUAUUGGGCGUAAAGCGCGCGCAGGCGGCUAUGUAAGUCUGGUGUUAAAGCCCGGGGCUCAACCCCGGUUCGCAUCGGAAACUGUGUAGCUUGAGUGCAGAAGAGGAAAGCGGUAUUCCACGUGUACCGGUGAAAUGCGUAGAGAUGUGGAGGAACCCCAGUGGCGAAGGCGGCUUUCUGGUCCUGUAACUGCCNCUGAGGCGCAAAANUUUGGGGNGCAACCAGGAUUANAUACCCCUGGUGGUCCACCCCGUAAACGAUNANUGCUAGGUGUUU